GAUGCAAAAAGAAAGGUCGACAAAAAAAAGACACAAAGAAAAUGUCCAAAACGUAUAUAAAAGAACUGUCUAAGUAUAAACCAUGUCCAUGUUUCUUCAUGAUAAUUUAUAAUUAUUUUGUAU
rnacentral:ribozyme from 13 species